ACCUGCAAAACAAUCCCAAGAAUUGUUCAGACUUCAAGAAAAGAGACAAAUAGCAAUAACAUAAUUAAGAAAGAGUCGAGAGUUGACUCUAAAAGUCUUUCUCUCUCUUUGAAACCGUUGACCCAUAACUUUAUCACUUCCGAUCACGAUUCAUUGUCAAGAUGUUAAAUCAAUGAUACAUCAAACACAGAUUAUCAUCACUAAUUGGAUUCAUUUCAAAAGAAACAGAGAAAAAAAACAGAGAGGCUUACGUUAGCAGAGGAGGAGACAAA